UGGCCACAGCUUUCGCCAUCCUUCAUCAUCCAGAGUUCACCCCAGACCAAUCAAGGGAAAGACAACCGGCAGUGAAUGGCCCUCCAGGUGGAAGUGACCUCACCCACCAGCAUACCGAACCAGCCCAUUUAAACCAUCCCAACCCUUCCAGUGUUUCAGGGAGUCCUCAGCCCCCUGUGGGUUCUCAGGCUGGUUCUGAGGGGGGCUGUGAGGCUGCUCCUGCCCCUACAGCCUGCUGUACCCCUGCAGAGGCAGAGCUCCAAAGCCAGGGUCUCUCUGCUGGGAACCCCCCAGACCCGAAGCCGCAGAAGCCAGAGGCAAAAGCUUCUGGUCAGGUCCCACUGUCCCCAGCCCAGGGCUCCCUAGCCGUAGUAGAGGCAAAAUGUGAUAUUUCGCCGUCCCCAGAGAGUGAGAGAGAUCCUGCUGUUGUACCUGGGUGUGAGUCUAAGGAACAUCCCCCACCAGAAGUCCCAGACAUCCCGCUAGGCCCUAACACCGGGCUCCCCAGAGAGCCCGACGCCUGUCUGAACGGAGUAGAGUAAGCCUCAUCGAUUCUUCUGUCUGUUCACCUGCAGAAAAUCUGUGAAAGAAACUUCUAGUCCUAGAAAACACAUACACACGUAUUUUCAUACAUGUAUAUAACGUUAUCAUAUAAGCAUAUUUCACUCCUUACAGAUUUUUCUCUAUUGCAAGAUAUUUACAUGCUUGUAAAAAAAUUCUCUCUUUCUUACACUCUGGAUUACAGUAGAUUAAAACUGUAUGAAUCAGAAACAGCACAUGCUGUACACAAGGAGGACCUCAGGACGCCUUUAACAGCAAAGGGGAAACCACAAACAGGUGGUUCUGAUCUGCUAAUGCUUCUGAUUCUCACAGCUAGCUUCCUCCCAGCUUCCCAGCAUCCCACCUCCCGGGAUGAAGCAGCCUCCUCCUGGCUAUCUGUGAGAAAGUGGUUGGAAAUAAAGAAUCUAAGAUUUGAGGGGUUGCGUAUACUCAGCAUAGAGGAAGCUGGCCCUGGCCCCUGCUUCUUUGGCUACUGAUUUCUCAGGAAAACACUUCUUGUUGUCUCUAACCUUGUGUUUUAUCUCAAAGCAUCUAUUUCUUCCGAGUUCCCUCCUUUGUGUCAAUGUGUAUGCCUAGCUCACGUCUCUAUUACUGUUAAGUAAAAUAUAUUUUUCCGAAACAGGAAUCCACACGACCUCUCAAUAGGAGUAAUAAGGCUUACAAAGCCAACACAUUUUCUGCUCUAAGGAGUUUUGAACAGGCAGAAAUACAAAAUUAAAAAGGGGCAGACGAGGACUCCAUAGAUGUCAAAAGCUAGAAGCAAUUGGGAUUACCCAAACAAGUUUUAUACUCGCAUUAUUGACAAAAAAAAAAUCCUCUACUAACACUGACAGCAUACAUUACUCUGCCUAGGCUAAAAGAAGACUAUACUAACAAAACAGGAAGAAGUGGGAAGGAGGGAGACAGAAGGAGUAUAAGGAAUGGACUGUCUAAUCUAACUCUACGUUAAGAAGUUGAACACAGGUAGAAAUAUGGAUGAAGGAAGGCUCUUGAAAACUCAUCCAGGAAGUCAUUCUUCAGUGGUGCAUGGUGGCUGUUUGCCAAUGCACAUAAGGAGCUGGUAGGCAGUAGCCAUAUGUUAAAGGAAUUAUAAAACUGUAUAAAAUUUGUUUGAAGUAGACAGUAAGGGAAAGAACAAAAAUACCAUUUGGGGAAUAAAAAAAAAAAAAAAACCAGGGGAAAAAGCACGUCGUUAUUUGAGAACUCAUGUGUUUUCAGAGGCUUUGCAUAUUAUAACCGCACGGGUAUCCAGCCAAGUUCAACACCACUGGAAAUUAGACAUUCAAUUAACUCAAAGUCAAAUAUUCACUAUACUAAUCCCUUCUCUCUGUUUACAGGAGAAAGGACAGAGUAGGAUCAUCACAGUUAAGUCUCAAUCCAAAAACUCAGGAAGACAAACAGGCAGGAGGCACUGACAUCCAAUAAAUUAGGAAUUCUAAUAUCCAAUGUUUAUUAUUUUCAUCCAAGAGAAUUUCACAGCAACAUAUCACUCAUAACUGUGUGUACCUUUGGCACAGUUUCAUAGGCUAUACCUUCCCUGAAACCUGUAAAGCUUUAAUAUAGGCUUUGGGAGACUUAUUUUAAUAGUCAAAGAAUGUUUUAUUAUAGUACUUUGUGUUCAAACUUGGCCUUACUAAUCAUAACAACUCAUAAGAUCUGAAAGCAGAAAUUACAUCUCUUCUUUAUGAAGUUCAUAUAACUAUUUUUAGAGAUGCCAAAUCUUUCUAGAAACACUGGAAUUAUUGCUUUCUAAAUGUAAUAACAUAAUGUUUAUACCAAUUAAAAAGGCAUUUCUUCCAA
rnacentral:lncRNA from 1 species